UAAUGACAUGGGCGUGGCCUUGUUAUUAUUUCCUUUUUCAAAAUGGCGUCAGAGGAUUCUAGAGAUUUUGAACCAUAUCCCGCCCUUGUUACCUGGUUAGAGAAUUGUCUGGUACUAUCAGGAGCUGGUGGAGGUUAUUCUAUGGAUAUUAGUGACAUUUCUGAUGGAACUGCAAUAGCAGCCUGCCUAAUGCACGUUGAUCCCCAGUACUUCACUAAGCAGUGGGGUACUAAGAUAAUUCCGGAAGCUUCCGCCAGCUGA